UUAGGGGAGCUGAGAGGCUGACCCCCACCGAUGGGACUGAGACACGGCCCAUACUCCUACGGGAGGCCGCAGUCGAGAAUCUUCCGCAAUGGACGCAAGUCUGACGGAGCGAUACAGCGUGGUAGAUGAAGUGCUUCGGCACGUAAAUACCUUUUAUGAGGGACGAAAUUAUUGACGGUACCUCAUGAAUAAGGGGCUCCUAACUCUGUGCCAGCAGGAGCGGUAAUACAGAGGCCCCAAGCAUUAUCCGGAAUCACUGGGCGUAAAGGGUGUCAAGGCGGUCAUAUUAGUCUUCCGUUAAAUCCAGGAGCUCAACUUCUGGCCUGCGGGAGAAACGGUAUGACUAGAGGUUGGAAGAGGUGCGUGGAACUCACGGUGUAGGGGUGAAAUCCGUUGAUAUCGUGGGGAACACCAAAGGCGAAGGCAGCGCACUGGUCCAAAUCUGACGCUCACACACGAAAGCCAGGGUAGCGAAUGGGAUUAGAUACCCCAGUAGUCCUGGCCCUAAACGUUGCUCGCUCGUUUUACGGAGAAUCGACCCUCUGUGAGACUAAGCUAACGCGGUAAGCGAGCCGCCUGGGUAGUACGAUCGCAAGGUUAAAACUCAAAGGAAUUGACGG
rnacentral:rRNA from 1 species